rnacentral:rRNA from 1 species
UCGAGGGGUAUAGGUUUUCGGACCUAGAGACCGGCGCACGGGUGCGUAACGCGUAUGCAAUCUACCUUUCACAGAGGGAUAGCCCAGAGAAAUUUGGAUUAAUACCUCAUAGUAUAACGACUCGGCAUCGAGAUGUUAUUAAAGUCACAACGGUGAAAGAUGAGCAUGCGUCCCAUUAGCUAGUUGGUAUGGUAACGGCAUACCAAGGCGACGAUGGGUAGGGGUCCUGAGAGGGAGAUCCCCCACACUGGUACUGAGACACGGACCAGACUCCUACGGGAGGCAGCAGUGAGGAAUAUUGGUCAAUGGACGCAAGUCUGAACCAGCCAUGCCGCGUGCAGGAUGACGGUCCUAUGGAUUGUAAACUGCUUUUGUACGAGAAGAAACCCUCCAACGUGUUGGAGCUUGACGGUAUCGUAAGAAUAAGGAUCGGCUAACUCCGUGCCAGCAGCCGCGGUAAUACGGAGGAUCCAAGCGUUAUCCGGAAUCAUUGGGUUUAAAGGGUCCGUAGGCGGUUUAGUAAGUCAGUGGUGAAAGCCCAUCGCUCAACGGUGGAACGGCCAUUGAUACUGCUAGACUUGAAUUAUUAGGAAGUAACUAGAAUAUGUAGUGUAGCGGUGAAAUGCUUAGAGAUUACAUGGAAUACCAAUUGCGAAGGCAGGUUACUACUAAUGGAUUGANNNUGAUGGA